rnacentral:rRNA from 1 species
UACGUAGGCAGCGAGCGUUGUUCGGAGUUACUGGGCGUAAAGGGUGUGUAGGCGGUUCUUUAAGUUUGGUGUGAAAUCUCCCGGCUCAACCGGGAGGGUGCGCCGAAUACUGAGGGACUAGAGUACGGGAGAGGAAAGUGGAAUUCCUGGUGUAGCGGUGAAAUGCGUAGAUAUCAGGAGGAACACCGGUGGUGUAGACGGCUUUCUGGACCGUAACUGACGCUGAGACACGAAAGCGUGGGUAGCAAACGGG